CAAGUACCUGUUUCACACUCAAAAAUAUACUCACUCUCCUCUUUGCUAUCUAAAGAAACUGCAAUAUUUCUUAAACAUUCAUAAGAAUUUCAAAAGCCAGGUUAAAUACAUGGAGCUCAUUACAGGUACAGGCACUUUCUUUUGAAUUGGAUUGGAUCCUACAUGGGGGUGCCAAAUUCAGCUAUAUUUCAUUUUUUCCCACAGCAAACAUCGCAUUUACAGGAGCUGUUGUCAUAGGCUGGAGCUUUACUGUGUUGGAAGGAGCAUCACCAUGGAAGCAAGAGGAUCCCAAGCUCCUACUCUCUUUUUGAUUGUGUUUCAGCAAUUUGCAUUUCUAUAGCACCUACUUAAAUCAUAGAUCUAGAACACUAUAAGAUUUAUUUUGAACAGAAACUGAAGUUGAAUGUUAAAGUUUGUUUGAAUGAUAAUU